rnacentral:snoRNA from 1 species
AAGACUAUACUUUCAGGGGUCAUUUCUAUAGUUUGUUACAAUGUGCAAGUAUCAUGUUUGAAUCCACAGUCCCCACCUUCAGGGGGA